UUUGAGGCUGCAGCGUCA
rnacentral:miRNA from 1 species